UUUAUAUAGUUUAUUAAAAACAUUACACUUUCUAUGUAAAGUUAAAACCCCUAUUUUUAUAA
rnacentral:tRNA from 1 species